CCUACGGGUGGCUGCAGUGGGGAAUAUUGGACAAUGGGCGAAAGCCUGAUCCAGCCAUGCCGCGUGUGUGAAGAAGGCCUUCGGGUUGUAAAGCACUUUCAGUGGGGAAGAAAGCCUUGGGGCUAAUACCCUCGAGGAAGGACAUCACCCACAGAAGAAGCACCGGCUAACUCCGUGCCAGCAGCCGCGGUAAUACGGAGGGUGCGAGCGUUAAUCGGAAUUACUGGGCGUAAAGCGCGCGUAGGCGGUCUGAUAAGCCGGUUGUGAAAGCCCCGGGCUCAACCUGGGAACGGCAUCCGGAACUGUCAGGCUAGAGUGCAGGAGAGGAAGGUAGAAUUCCCGGUGUAGCGGUGAAAUGCGUAGAGAUCGGGAGGAAUACCAGUGGCGAAGGCGGCCUUCUGGACUGACACUGACGCUGAGGUGCGAAAGCGUGGGUAGCAAACAGGAUUAGAUACCCCAGUAUC
rnacentral:rRNA from 1 species